GAUGAACGCUGGCGGCGUGCCUAAUACAUGCAAGUCGAGCGAACGGACGAGAAGCUUGCUUCUCUGAUGUUAGCGGCGGACGGGUGAGUAACACGUGGAUAACCUACCUAUAAGACUGGGAUAACUUCGGGAAACCGUAGCUAAUACCGGAUAAUAUUUUGAACCGCAUGGUUCAAAAGUGAAAGACGGUCUUGCUGUCACUUAUAGAUGUAUCCGCGCUGCAUUAGCUAGUUGGUAAGGUAACGGCUUACCAAGGCAACGAUGCAUAGCCGACCUGAGAGGGUGAUCGGACACACUGGAACUGAGACACGGUCCAGACUCCUACGGGAGGCAGCAGUAGGGAAUCUUCCGCAAUGGGCGAAAGCCUGACGGAGCAACGCCGCGUGAGUGAUGAAGGUCUUCGGAUCGUAAAACUCUGUUAUUAGGGAAGAACAUAUGUGUAAGUAACUGUGCACAUCUUGACGGUACCUAAUCAGAAAGCCACGGCUAACUACGUG
rnacentral:rRNA from 1 species